rnacentral:rRNA from 1 species
GGGGCAGCAGAUCGAAAGCUUGCUUUUGAUGCUGGCGACCGGCGCACGGGUGAGUAACGCGUAUCCAACCUUCCCUAUAGUAGGGGAUAGCCCGGCGAAAGUCGGAUUAAUACUCUAUGUUAUUCAAUGCGGACAUCUAAGUUGAAUCAAAGGCUUGCCGCUAUAGGAUGGGGAUGCGUCUGAUUAGGUAGUCGGCGGGGUAACGGCCCACCGAGCCGACGAUCAGUAGGGGUUCUGAGAGGAAGGUCCCCCACAUUGGAACUGAGACACGGUCCAAACUCCUACGGGAGGCAGCAGUGAGGAAUAUUGGUCAAUGGGCGAGAGCCUGAACCAGCCAAGUAGCGUGCAGGAUGACGGCCCUAUGGGUUGUAAACUGCUUUUAUACAGGGAUAAAGUGAGCCACGUGUGGUUUUUUGUAGGUACUGUAUGAAUAAGGACCGGCUAAUUCCGUGCCAGCAGCCGCGGUAAUACGGAAGGUCCGGGCGUUAUCCGGAUUUAUUGGGUUUAAAGGGAGCGCAGGCUGAUGAUUAAGCGUGACGUGAAAUGUAGCCGCUCAACGGCUGCACUGCGUCGCGAACUGGUUAUCUUGA